GGGCCUCCAAUUUUGAAACACCUUGAAAUUGCCUUCGGGGCCUUUCUAGUGGCGCCGAACGAUGCCUUUUGUAUGUUUUGUUGCCGCAAAAUUCCGCCAUAUCGCAGCGUGUUUGGCCGCUGCUGCGAUUUUUCGCUGGAGCAAUUGCUGCAGUUAUUGAUGCGAUGGACGAUGCUCAUGGAUUACUCGUUUGUUACCAGUAUUGCUACUGUGACUGCGGUCCCGGGGUCAGAUGGCGAAGCCUGCGUCAUUGAAUUUCCCCCCUUGCGUUCAGUGCAUCGUGCAUUCUUACUCCACAGAGCCGUAAUGUGAAUUUUGGAUGGGCGGAUUUUGGACGUCGAGCUAGUGAUUAUUCGCAUGCGGUGCAUAGCUUUAAUCCUGCGAGAGACAACGUUGGUCAAAAGUCCUUUCACUGCUGGUGCACCGGGAGUUUUUCUGGUUUCACGUGUGCGGAGGAUUUCGGAUUUUUUUUUUUUUUUUUUUUUUUUUUUUUUUUGGAUUGCUAUGGAUUUGGUCGUUUUGCCAGUCGCCCGAUUUUGGACGCAUCGUUGUGGUGGAGGCGAGGUUCGAAAUCCUGCUGUAUUUCUCAUGAAAUUUGGAAGAGAGAGAAUUUUUCGCCCUGCGUGAUCAAAGGCAGAUGGCGCAGCAGAUUCGCUGCAAGGCAGCAGAAGACAGGGUUUGUAGGAGAAAGCAUCAGAAGCUCUGUGAUGUUAUUGGAUUUCUAUUUGAUAAGGGAGCUUCUUCCUCUUAUUUUGAGCACUGAGGCGUUCACUUUACUGGGAGUUUCGAUUGGUCGGAGACUACGCUUCAUCCUCUAGACUAGGGCCGGAAGUAAUGGCAUUAAUUGAAAAAACAAGUUUUUCAUUUCGCAGCAGUCUUCUUUGUACGCAAAUUUUCUUCUUUCGCCUCCCGCCCUGCGAGCUGCGGGUUUAGGGAGUUUACGAAUGUUGCGGCCAACUCUCAUGUUGUUUCUGACUAUUACUGCCCUCCACUUGUUUCUUGCUGAGGUACGCAGUGGUUGCACAGGGUAUAACACCACGUUCAAAUCGAAUGGCCAUCGAAGCUGCCAACGCAACCGUGACAAGAUGACAAGGGCGUCCUGCGCUUCCUUCAGUCGGCCCAUUAUAUAUCCAGGAUACGGGAAAAUAUGGUUUAUUUUUACCUGAAAAACUAAGCGGUUAUGGAUACUCAAUUGUCUUAUUCCUUUUGUAUUUUUCAUAGGAUAGUCAUAAUAUAGUGGAAUUUUCAAAGAAUGAAAUUAUAUCUUGUUGAGGAUGCUUUUUCAAAGAAUUGCACUUCAUGAAUUGUUGGAGAUUGGAUUAGUCCGCUUUUUGUCAGCUCAUUGAAGCACCUUGAAAUACUUGCAGAAAACAUAGGCUUAAGUACCUACUCUAUGCUCAAGGGUUUGAUGGUUACAGCUCGUUGCUAACAGUCACUUUCGUGCAACUAGAGAUAGCGUCAGUCUCUAUUGACGGCCGUUGCAUUCCCGUUUUAGAGUUUCUUCGUCAAUGUUGCGCUCCUGCAAGGUUAUUAGAGGAUUAGCAUGCAAUGGAGGAACAGGUUCUUGCUUAAUAUUUUAGUGCUACGCUGGAUGUUAAUAAAUAAUCUGGCUUUUGUAGGGAGUCCAAAACGAGGAAACUUCUGUGAGAAGUUCUCAAUCUGAAGUGGAUACAGCUUUGUCUGUCAAGAGAGUGGUUUUGGCGGAAAAGGCGAUAUGGGAUGAGGAUCAAAGAUUGUGUAUUUUGAAUAACGGUUGUGAAUAAUUGCUGGGAAAGGUGCCACACAGCAGAGGGUUCAAUAGAAAGGGGGACUCGCAAAGUGAUAGAAUCUAUUUGCAGGGUGUACGGCAAUUUAGCUCUGAAUGUAUGUGCAAUACGCCUCUUAAUUCAGACGGAUGUUUUUAAACCCCCUGAGUGGUUUGUUUUAUUUUUGUAUUUCAUAGUUUG